rnacentral:rRNA from 1 species
GACGAACGCUGGCGGCGUGCUUAACACAUGCAAGUCGAACGGAAAGGCCCUGCUUUUGUGGGGUGCUCGAGUGGCGAACGGGUGAGUAACACGUGAGUAACCUGCCCUUGACUUUGGGAUAACUUCAGGAAACUGGGGCUAAUACCGGAUAUGAGCUCCUGCUGCAUGGUGGGGGUUGGAAAGUUUCGGCGGUUGGGGAUGGACUCGCGGCUUAUCAGCUUGUUGGUGGGGUAGUGGCUUACCAAGGCUUUGACGGGUAGCCGGCCUGAGAGGGUGACCGGCCACAUUGGGACUGAGAUACGGCCCAGACUCAUACGGGAGGCAGCAGUGGGGAAUAUUGCACAAUGGGCGGAAGCCUGAUGCAGCAACGCCGCGUGCGGGAUGACGGCCUUCGGGUUGUAAACCGCUUUCGCCUGUGACGAAGAGUGAGUGACGGUAAUGGGUAAAGAAGCACCGGCUAACUACGUG